AUUGAACGCGGCGGCAUGCUUUACACAUGCAAGUCGGACGGCAGCACAGAGAAGCUUGCUUCUUGGGUGGCGAGUGGCGAACGGGUGAGUAACAUAUCGGAACGUACCGAGCAGUGGGGGAUAACUAAUCGAAAGAUUAGCUAAUACCGCAUAUCUUCUGAGGAAGAAAGCAGGGGACCAUUUGGCCUUGCGCUGUUUGAGCGGCCGAUAUCUGAUUAGCUAGUUGGUGGGGUAAAGGCCUACCAAGGCGACGAUCAGUAGCGGGUCUGAGAGGAUGAUCCGCCACACUGGGACUGAGACACGGCCCAGACUCCUACGGGAGGCAGCAGUGGGGAAUUUUGGACAAUGGGCGAAAGCCUGAUCCAGCCAUGCCGCGUGUCUGAAGAAGGCCUUCGGGUUGUAAAGGACUUUUGUCAGGGAAGAAAAGGGCGGGGUUAAUACCCCUGUCUGAUGACGGAACCUGAAGAAUAAAGC
rnacentral:rRNA from 1 species